rnacentral:rRNA from 1 species
AUUGAACGCUGGCGGCAUGCCUUACACAUGCAAGUCGAACGGCAGCACGGGUGCUUGCACCUGGUGGCGAGUGGCGAACGGGUGAGUAAUACAUCGGAACGUACCUUAUCGUGGGGGAUAACGCAGCGAAAGCUGUGCUAAUACCGCAUACGCCCUGAGGGGGAAAGCGGGGGAUCGCAAGACCCAGCGCGAUUAGAGCGGCCGAUGCCUGAUUAGCUUGUUGGUGGGGUAAAAGCCUACCAAGGCGACGAUCAGUAGCUGGUCUGAGAGGACGAUCAGCCACACUGGGACUGAGACACGGCCCAGACUCCUACGGGAGGCAGCAGUGGGGAAUUUUGGACAAUGGGGGCAACCCUGAUCCAGCAAUGCCGCGUGAGUGAAGAAGGCCUUCGGGUUGUAAAGCUCUUUUGUCAGGGAAGAAACACCGGCUCUAACACAGUCCGGGAAUGACGAUACCUGAAGAAUAAGCACCGGCUAACUACGUGCCAGCCGCCGCCGUAA